rnacentral:misc_RNA from 1 species
GUCAGCGCUUGUUACACGAACAUCGCGAUGUCGGUGACCUUCCUGCGAGAGGAGGGCGUGCUAAAGAGGAUCCGGGGAACGCCGUUACCACCGACCGCGUACCUCAUCGGCCGGGUCCUCCACGCGAUCUUCCUUGCCUACGUGCUGGUUGCGAUCAUCGCUGCGUUCGGCGCGGCCUUCUACAACGUCGACCUGCCGACCACGACGCUCCCCGCCUUCAUCCUGUCGAUCGGCAUCGAGGCGGCCGCGUUCUGUGCUCUAGGGCUUGCCAUCACAUCGUUGAUACCGAAUACCGACGCGGCCCCCGCCAUCAUCAACGCGCUCGUGAUCCCGACCGCUUUCAUCUCCGACGUGUGGGCUCCUUACGAGAACGCACCCGCAUGGCUACAGGCCGUGGCCGAUUUCCUACCGCUGAAGCACGCGGUCGACACGAUGAAGUGCUCGUUCCUGGUGGAUGAGUGCUCUUCUGC